CUGGCAUUUACAGUAUUAUAGCUGUGUAAGAAUCAGUGAACAAGCACAGGAAUUGGAAAAGAAUGAAGAAAACUGCAAAUUUGUUGUGUUAGGAAGUGUCUAGGAAGUGUAUAGUGGACAAUGACUUCUGACUUUUCAUAUUUUCUUUCAUUCAAUAAUCCAUUUGUACCCUGGGAUGUCCCAGGCACUGUGUGAAGCCCAACACAAUGCCCAUCCUCCUAGAGCUGAGAGCACAAUAAUACAACUCUUAUGCCAUUGAAAUUGUGCAAAAUGCACACAUGCACAAUGAUGAUGUCAUAGAAUUUUAGUUACAAUAACUUGUUUUGCAUAUUUUAUUCAUUUUAGCUAUACAUGAUAGGUUUCAUUUUGACAUAAUCAUGCAAGCAUGGAAUAUAAUUUGCUCUAAUUCAGUCCCCAGUACUUCUCCUUUCCCUCCCCUUCUACCUCCCUCUGUUUUUUCCCCCUCUACUGAUCUUCUGUUUAUAGAUUUUUAAAAUUAAUUCUUUGUGGAUAUACAUAAAGAUGUAAUCCACUGUGGUAUAUUUAUAUAUGUACAUGGGAGAGUUUGGUCAGAUUCAUUCCACUGUUCCCUUUACCUGUCCUUCAGUCCCCUUCCUCUACUGAUCUCUCUUCUAUUUUCAUAUAAUCCUCUUCCCUCUUUUUAUCUUUUUUUCUCCCCCUCCCCACCUUAUUUUGGUGUAGCUUCUGCAUGUCAGAGAAAACAUUUGAUUGUUGAUCUUCUGAGCCUUGCUUAUUUCACUUAGCAUGGUGGUUCCAUCCAUUUACUGACAAAUGCCAUAAUAUCACUCUUCUUUAUGGCUGAGUAAUAUUCCAUUGUGUAUACAUAUACCACAUUUUCUUUGUCCAUUUAUCUGUUGAUGGGAAGAUAGAUUGAUUCCAUAACUUAGCUACUGUGAAUUGUGCUUUUAGAAACAUUGAUGUGGCUGCAUCCCUAUAGUUUGCUGAUUUUAUAUCCUUUGGAUAUAUACUGAGGAGUAGGAUAACUGGGUCAUAUGAUGGUUCCUUUCCUAGUUUUUUGAAAUACCUCUCCGCUGCUUUUCAGAGUGGUUGCACCAAUUUAUAGUCCCACAAACAGUUUAUGAGUGUUCCUUUUCCCCACAUCUUUUCCAACAUUUAUUAUUAUUUGUAUUCUUGAUAAUUGCUGUUCUGAUUGGAGUAAGAUGAAAUCUCAAUGUAGUUUUGAUUUGCUAUAGAUAUUGAACAUUUUUUAUAUAUUUAUUGGCCAUUUAUUUCUUCUUUUGAGAAGUGUUUGUUUAGUUCUUUUGCUCAUUUAUUAAUUAGGUUAUUUGUGUUUGGAUGUUAUUUAUUUAUUUAUUUAUUCAUUCAUUCAUUUAUUCAUUUAUUUUUUUUAGUUCUUAUAUAUUCU
rnacentral:lncRNA from 1 species